UGGCGGCCUUAGCGCGGUGGUCCCACCUGACCCCAUGCCGAACUCAGAAGUGAAACGCCGUAGCGCCGAUGGUAGUGUGGGGUCUCCCCAUGCGAGAGUAGGGAAUUGCCA
rnacentral:rRNA from 1 species